CUUAAAAGGUACAAUAUUUUAUUGGGUGCUUUCAUAUCCCCCAUCAGACCCAAAAUCCUGAGAAACAUCACUGCUGCUAAAAUCCAUGUUGCUUGAGGAGUUGGCCCUCCUGUUCAAGGCCUGUCGCUUCUGCCGAGGCGCCUGUCGCUUCUGCCGAGGCGCCUGUCGCUUCUGCCGAGGCGCCUGUCGCUUCUGCCGAGGCGCCUGUCGCUUCUGCCGAGGCGCCUGUCGCUUCUGCCGAGGCAUGGGAGCCAGUUGCUUCCCCUAAGGUAUUUGUGCCAGUUGCCACACUUGCUGAGGCAUUGUGGGUGGCUGCUUCCGAGGUAUUAUGGGUGGCCUCUUGCACGGCUCUGUGGCUGGUAGCUUCCACUGCCGAGGCACUGUGGCUGGUAGCUUCACUUAAGGUAUUUGGGCCAGUCGUGGCGCUUGAUGAAGCAUUGUGGCCAGUUGCUUCAACUAAGGUAUUUGGGCCAGUUACCACACUUGCUGAGGCAUUGUGGGUGGCUGCUUCUGCAGAGUCACGGAAGCUGGUUGCUUCACCCAAUGUAUUUGGGCCAGUCAUGGCGCUUGAUGAAGCAUUGUGGCUAGUUGCAUCAGCUAUGGUAUUUGGGCCAGUCGUGAUGUUUGCUGAGGCAUUGUGGGUGGCUGCUUCUGCUGCGGAGGCACGGGUUCUGGUUGCUCCACCUAAGGUUUUUGAGCCAGUUGCCACACUUGCUGAGGCAUUUUGGGUGGCUCCUUCUGCUGAGGCACGGGAGCGUUUUGCUUCACCCAAGUUAUUUGGGCCAGUCGUGACGCUUGAUGAAGCAUUGCGGCCAGUUGCUUCAAAGCUAUUUGGGCCAGUUGCCACACUUGCCGAGGCAUUAUGGGUGGCUGCUUCCGCUGCCGAGGCGUUAUGGGUGGUCGCUUCCGCGGCACUGUGGCCAGUUGCUUCACCCAAGGUAUUUGGGCCAGUCAUGGCGCUUGCUGAGGUAUUGUGGUGGCUGCUUCUGAGGCACGGGAGCCGGUUGCUUCCGCUGCAUUGUGGCUGGUUCCUUUUAAUUUAUUUUGGGGAAUAUAUCUAUAAUUACCUAUGAAAGAAAAUAAAGUUUAAAAUCAUAAAAUUCCAGCAUUUGAAGUUCUGGGACUUAAACGGUGUUAUUUUAUCUGAAUUAAAUGUGUAGAACAAAACACACCUUUAGAUGGAGGAUAACAGGUUAUCCCUCCAAUUAGCAGGCAACAAAUCCAAUAAAUUCUAAAUAAAAACAUCCUAGUCAGUUAAAAAUACAGCUACCUGUAAAACAUGGGAAACAAACUAGAGCCAUACAACUUAGCUCAAAGUCAUUUAAAAAAUCACAGCCAGAAUUCUGAACUAAUGGUAGCCAGAAGCAUUACCAGGAGAUUCCUCUUAUUGUAUCUGAUUGUCUUUUUU
rnacentral:lncRNA from 1 species